AUGCCACAUUCCAACUCAACUGAACCUUUAGACGAAUGUAGCCCUAGCCUCUAUUUGACUUCAACUACAAGAGAGAUGCCAAGCUGAGACCAGUUAAGCCACAGAACUCUUUCAGAAAAGUCAUAUUGUUCUCAAAUGACCUAGCUUUUACCUUCGUUAACUCAAACCUGCACCCAUCUGAAGUGAAACCAGCAACCAUUUAACAGCAAACAGUAGCAGCAGCAUGCACCAAAAGAGAAUGGAAAGUGAAAAGAACACAACAGAUCAUUUUAAAAGUAGUGUGUCAAUUGCCUGGUUCUCCACUGACAGCUAAAAUUAAACAAAAAAGUGAAUUCCGUUCUACAGUGUGACCAUCUUAUGGGAACACUAGAGGAUAUCCAUAGACAGCAGAGAAAAAAUAGCAAAAUAGAUAUUUUGACUCACAGAAAAUGAAUGUUUGCAAAGAUUCACCAAGAAAUAAAGUCAACCAAAAAAGCAAAGUCAUGGAAAAGAAAUGCAAAUCUCCACAAAAGGCAGCUUUUCAGGGCUAUUCCUGUCUACACGCCCUCUGAAUAACCAUCUCAAAAUAUGUUCAAGAAGUAUAUUUUGGAGGUGGCAUUGCAGAUGGGAUCUCAAAGCCAAGUCUCUACAUAUGAUACAGGCAAACAGAUGUUUACAUGACUUGCUCCUCCUUGCCUUCUGCCAUGAUUGUGAGGCCUCUCCAGCCACAUGGAAUUUUUUUCAUCCAGUGACUACCAAAUGGAGGAAUUAUCGUCUUGAAGGGGAACGUAUCAAUCACUUAAGGAAACUAGAUGGGAGACUGAAGGUGGCAAAAGGAGAGGCAUAGCAAAUGGAAGAAGGUGUCCUAGAGUCACUCUUAAACUUUGAGAAGUUUGAGAUAUUAGGUUGGUGCAAGAGUAAUUGCAGGUUUUACCAUUACUUUUAAGAGCACAAGGACCAAACAUAUGAAUAUUUACACUAAAAAAUAAACUAGAGUUGCUUC
ensembl:lncRNA LINC00692 long intergenic non-protein coding RNA 692